CUGCGUCCUUGAGAUGUUGAUACGGCUUCUUGAACUUUGGAAUGACAAAUUGAUCAGGAAAUGAUGCUGCUCGGCUUUGGACAAGUUGAUAGCAUGGGGUAAAAGAAGAGGUCUAUUCUCGCCUCCAUUUUGUGGCGGUGGUGCAUGCAUAUCGAGUCGACGGUUUCGCUGAAUCGAGACAUAUGAUCAAGAACUCAAGAUGAGAAAUAACCGCGGACAUUUUCAAAUGGAUGCGAGUUUAGUUGACUGAUGAUGAAUCGCGAGGCCUGUAAUAUACAGACCUUCUCACCAUGGUAUCAACAUGGAUAUUCAACAUGGUAAAUUCAAGUUUCUGCAACUCUUCAUGUAUGUAUUCCAACGG
rnacentral:sRNA from 1 species